GAUGAAGAACGCAGCGAAAUGCGAUAAGUAAUGCGAAUUGCAGAAUUCAGUGAAUCAUCGAAUCUUUGAACGCACAUUGCGCCCGCCAGUAUUCUGGCGGGCAUGCCUGUUCGAGCGUCAUUACAACCCUCAGGCCCCCGGGCCUGGCGUUGGGGAUCGGCGGAAGCCCCCUGCGGGCACAACGCCGUCCCCCAAAUACAGUGGCGGUCCCGCCGCAGCUUCCAUUGCGUAGUAGCUAACACCUCGCAACUGGAGAGCGGCGCGGCCACGCCGUAAAACACCCAACUUCUGAAUGUUGACCUCGAAUCAGGUAGGAAUACCCGCUGAACUUAAGCAUAUCAAUAAGCGGAGGA
rnacentral:misc_RNA from 1 species